AAAGCUCAAAUUUAAAAUCUGGUGGUCCUCGCGGCCGUCCGAGUUGUAAUCUGGAGAAGUGUUUUCCGCGCUGGACCGUGUACAAGUCUUCUUGAACGGAGCAUCAUAGAGGGUGAGAAUCCCGUCUUUGACACGGACUGCCAGUGCUUUUGUGAUACGCUCUCGACGAGUCGAGUUGUUUGGGAAUGCAGCUCAAAAUGGGUGGUAAAUUCCAUCUAAAGCUAAAUACAGGCGAAAGACCGAUAGCGAA
rnacentral:rRNA from 1 species